UACGUAGGGGGCAAGCGUUAUCCGGAUUUACUGGGUGUAAAGGGAGCGUAGACGGCUUUGCAAGCCAGAUGUGAAAGCCCGGGGCUCAACCCCGGGACUGCAUUUGGAACUGUGUGGCUAGAGUGUCGGAGAGGCAGGCGGAAUUCCUAGUGUAGCGUUGAAAUGCGUAGAUAUUAGGAGGAACACCAGUGGCGAAGGCGGCCUGCUGGACGAUGACUGACGUUGAGGCUCGAAAGCGUGGGGAGCAAACAGG
rnacentral:rRNA from 1 species